ACGAACGCUGGCGGCCUGCCUAACACAUGCAAGUCGAACGAGACCUUCGGGUCUAGUGGCGCACGGGUGCGUAACGCGUGGGAACCUGCCCUUAGGUUCGGAAUAACUCCCCGAAAGGGGUGCUAAUACCGGAUAAUGUCUUCGGACCAAAGAUUUAUCGCCUUUGGAUGGGCCCGCGUUGGAUUAGCUAGUUGGUAGGGUAAAAGCCUACCAAGGCGACGAUCCAUAGCUGGUCUGAGAGGAUGAUUAGCCACACUGGGACUGAGACACGGCCCAGACUCCUACGGGAGGCAGCAGUGGGGAAUAUUGGACAAUGGGCGAAAGCCUGAUCCAGCAAUGCCGCGUGAGUGAUGAAGGCCUUAGGGUUGUAAAGCUCUUUUACCCGGGAUGAUAAUGACAGUACCGGGAGAAUAAGCUCCGGCUAACUCCGUG
rnacentral:rRNA from 1 species